GACGAACGCUGGCGGCGUGCUUAACACAUGCAAGUCGAACGGAGAGGCCCUGCUUUUGUGGGGUGCUCGAGUGGCGAACGGGUGAGUAACACGUGAGUAACCUGCCCUUGACUUUGGGAUAACUUCAGGAAACUGGGGCUAAUACCGGAUAGGAGCUCCUGCUGCAUGGUGGGGGUUGGAAAGUUUCGGCGGUUGGGGAUUGACUCGCGGCUUAUCAGCUUGUUGGUGGGGUAGUGGCUUACCAAGGCUUUGACGGGUAGCCGGCCUGAGAGGGUGACCGGCCACAUUGGGACUGAGAUACGGCCCAGACUCCUACGGGAGGCAGCAGUGGGGAAUAUUGCACAAUGGGCGGAAGCCUGAUGCAGCAACGCCGCGUGCGGGAUGACGGCCUUCGGGUUGUAAACCGCUUUCGCCUGUGACGAAGCGUGAGUGACGGUAAUGGGUAAAGAAACACCGGCUAACUACGU
rnacentral:rRNA from 1 species